rnacentral:rRNA from 1 species
UACGGAGGGUGCAAGCGUUAUCCGGAUUCACUGGGUUUAAAGGGUGCGUAGGUGGGCAGGUAGGUCAGUGGUGAAAUCUCCGGGCUUAACCCGGAAACUGCCAUUGAUACUAUCAGUCUUGAAUACCGUGGAGGUAAGCGGAAUAUGUCAUGUAGCGGUGAAAUGCUUAGAUAUGACAUAGAACACCAAUUGCGAAGGCAGCUUACUACCCGAAUAUUGACACUGAGGCACGAAAGCGUGGGGAUCAAACAGG